rnacentral:rRNA from 1 species
UACUACAGCCAUGCUACCCUGAACAAGCCCGAUCCCAUCUGAUCUCAGAAGCUAGGGGGUCGGGCCUGGUUAGUACUUGGAUGGGAGACCACCUAGGAAGACCAGGAGCUGUAGAUG